rnacentral:rRNA from 1 species
UGAGGAAUAUUGGACAAUGGGUUAGCGCCUGAUCCAGCCAUCCCGCGUGAAGGACGACGGCCCUAUGGGUUGUAAACUUCUUUUGUACAGGGAUAAACCGAAGCUACGCGUAGAAAUCCGAAGGUAAGGGACCCAGCAUCCCCCGGAAAAACCG